rnacentral:rRNA from 1 species
UACGAAGGGGCUAGCGUUGCUCGGAAUCACUGGGCGUAAAGGGUGCGUAGGCGGGUCUUUAAGUCAGGGGUGAAAUCCUGGAGCUCAACUCCAGAACUGCCUUUGAUACUGAAGAUCUUGAGUUCGGGAGAGGUGAGUGGAACUGCGAGUGUAGAGGUGAAAUUCGUAGAUAUUCGCAAGAACACCAGUGGCGAAGGCGGCUCACUGGCCCGAUACUGACGCUGAGGCACGAAAGCGUGGGGAGCAAACAGGAUUAAGAA